rnacentral:rRNA from 1 species
GAGUUUGAUCCUGGCUCAGAUUGAACGCUGGCGGCAUGCCUUACACAUGCAAGUCGAACGGCAGCAUGAUCUAGCUUGCUAGAUUGAUGGGCGAGUGGCGAACGGGUGAGUAAUACAUCGGAACGUGCCCUGUAGUGGGGGAUAACUAGUCGGAAAGAUUAGCUAAUACCGCAUACGACCUGAGGGUGAAAGUGGGGGACCGCAAGGCCUCAUG